UGUUACAAAUGGGAUGAGCCCAAAGAAAUGGUUAAAGUUGUUCAAUAAUCUUGGUUAAAUCAAAUUAUUUAUUGUGCUGGUCUCUCAGCUCAAAAGUUGGAUUAAUAGCAUCCAUCUUUUCAAAAGUGUGUAGUAACUUAUG
rnacentral:rRNA from 1 species